AGCAGUGAUAUCAACGCUUUCUUAGAGAGGCCACAGACGACGUGGAAGGUAAGGGUGGAGGCCCAGGUGAUUCCACGUCCAUUUUCGCAGUCACAAGAACGGCGUCUUGUGCAAACACAAAAUAAAAACGGGAAAAAUCGCAGAGACUGAAACCAGCG
rnacentral:lncRNA from 1 species